GAAUUUGCUUAAAUCAUAUUGAGCGUGUAUUUUUAAGUGCGUAUUUGAAAAAAAAACCUUGAGAAAAAAUUAAAAAAAAGGAAAUAUAAUUAUGGCUAUGAUGUGGAUUAAACAAUUUAUUGACUGUACACCAUUUUCAAAACGAAAUUUGCACAAAAAACUUUAUUCCGGACGAAAACACUUCCGGACGAAAACACUUUAUUCCGGACGAAAACCCUGCCGGUAACUGUCCGGUAACAAAACAGAAAAUUAUUCCAGUAAUCAACAGGGUUAACCAGUAACCCAGUGGCAGUAGAAAAAGCAGCGGUUUUGAUAUGCCAUAUAAUAUAAUAUGAAAUAUGAAACUACUAACUGACUUAAAAAUAAAAUAAAUCUCAC